CCUACGGGGGGCUGCAGUGGGGAAUAUUGGACAAUGGGGGCAACCCUGAUCCAGCCAUGCCGCAUGUGUGAAGAAGGCCCUCGGGUUGUAAAGCACUUUCAGUGAGGAAGAACGCCUGGUGGUUAAUACCCAUCAGGAAAGACAUCACUCACAGAAGAAGCACCGGCUAACUCCGUGCCAGCAGCCGCGGUAAUACGGAGGGUGCGAGCGUUAAUCGGAAUUACUGGGCGUAAAGCGCGCGUAGGUGGCUUGAUAAGCCGGUUGUGAAAGCCCCGGGCUCAACCUGGGAACGGCAUCCGGAACUGUCAAGCUAGAGUGCAGGAGAGGAAGGUAGAAUUCCCGGUGUAGCGGUGAAAUGCGUAGAGAUCGGGAGGAAUACCAGUGGCGAAGGCGGCCUUCUGGACUGACACUGACACUGAGGUGCGAAAGCGUGGGUAGCAAACAGGAUUAGAUACCCCAGUAGUC
rnacentral:rRNA from 1 species